rnacentral:tRNA from 1 species
GAUUAAAUGGCUGAAUUUUAGGCAAUAGACUGUAAAUCUAUUUAUGAGAGUUAUUCUCUUUAAUCA